UGGCAUACGUCUGCAUUUGCACCUGCAUCUCUCAACAUACAAGAUAUGAAGAUAUCCAUAUGGUUUUCUUCUUCUUCUUGCCGAUUAUUUUGCCGUUGGAGUUGGGAAGAAGACGCAGAUGCAAAUGCAGACGAAUGCCAUC
rnacentral:pre_miRNA from 1 species